CCUACGGGAGGCUGCAGUCGAGAAUCAUUCACAAUGGGGGAAACCCUGAUGGUGCGACGCCGCGUGGGGGAAUGAAGGUCUUCGGAUUGUAAACCCCUGUCGUGUAGGAGCAAAUUAAAAAGAUAGUACCACAAGAGGAAGAGACGGCUAACUCUGUGCCAGCAGCCGCGGUAAUACAGAGGUCUCAAGCGUUGUUCGGAAUCACUGGGCGUAAGGCGUGCGUAGGCUGUUUCGUAAGUCGUGUGUGAAAGGCGCGGGCUCAACCCGCGGACGGCACAUGAUACUGCGAGACUAGAGUAAUGGAGGGGGAACCGGAAUUCUCGGUGUAGCAGUGAAAUGCGUAGAUAUCGAGAGGAACACUCGUGGCGAAGGCGGGUUCCUGGACAUUAACUGACGCUGAGGCACGAAGGCCAGGGGAGCGAAAGGGAUUAGAUACCCUGGUAGUC
rnacentral:rRNA from 1 species